rnacentral:rRNA from 1 species
UGGGGAAUAUUGCACAAUGGGCGCAAGCCUGAUGCAGCCAUGCCGCGUGUAUGAAGAAGGCCUUCGGGUUGUAAAGUACUUUCAGCGAGGAGGAAGGUGUUGAGGUUAAUAACCGCAGCAAUUGACGUUACUCGCAGAAGAAGCACCGGCUAACUCCGUG